rnacentral:antisense_RNA from 1 species
AAUGUGUCCUCAGGCCUGUCCUCGCGGAUGGGCUCCCUCCAGGAGCACCAGCUCUGCCUGAGUCACCCUUCAUUCUGCAGGAUUCAGAAGCAACAGGACAGGGUGCAGGAGACUGAGGAUUUGGGAGAGAGACAGACAGAUGCUGGGGACGUGCCCUUGGCCCAAGGGUCAGGCCUGGCUCCUCCCUGCAUGGCCAGAACUUUUCACAUGGCUUAGGCAGGGCCCUUCUGCCCUCCAAACAUCAGUUUCCCCAUAUGCCAAGGCAUCACCCUGAGCUGGUAGAUGAGAUGGGUUAAGACAGUGUGAGGAACAGGGCAGCAGAAAGAUGGGGGUGGUCCCAAGGGGCCCCAGAGCUGCAGUGCCCUGACCUUGUCCAGCUCCUCCUGGUUGCCAAAGAGCGGGUGGUAGCGGCGGUACUUGCCCUCACGGUACUUGGCCUCCAGGUGGCACCGCCGGGUGCUGGGGCUGCUGCUGGGCUGCAGGGCCUCACUGGGGGGCACGUUGGCUGCCCAGAAGCGGUUCCCAGCGCCAUUCCCCAGCUGUAAGAAGAGCUGCGGGGGUGUGCAGGAGGUCAGACAGGCCAGCUGACAGCCAGGGGCCAUGCCGGGCAGAAACUUGGUUUCUGAGGUUGUUAGGCAAGGGGCUGGGAGAGCCAGGCCAUCUGCCCACUUUCCCAAUGGGGAAGGUGAGGACAGCCUGGCCUGCUGGUGGCUGGGGAUGCUCCUGCCACCAGUACUGGGCUCUGAGCCUAAGUCUCAGGCUCAGUGACAGGACAGGGAGUCAGCAGCCUGACAGGUGGACACCUCAGGCCUUGCACCUGGUCCCGGGGGCCUUGCUGCUGCCCCACCCAGUUCCACAUCUGGAGCUCUGCAUUCCUGAGGCUAUGAUAGCUGGGGGUGGGUGCCUAACCUGUCAGCCAAUGGGGUGGGCAGGGAUUUUGGAAACCUCUCCUGUCCCUGACAUUCCUCUCUGGGCAAGAGGGAUGGGGGUGGAUUCUGGGUGAGUGCAGGGAUCCAGCAUUCGGUAAUCAGUUCCUUCCUUCAUCCGGCUCCUCAUUCCACAGCCAUUUCCUAGGCCCCCCACCUUGCCUCCUUGUCAGGUCCUGUAUGGGGUGCUGGAGUCACAGCACAGAACAAAGCAGAACAGUCCCUGCCACUACUGAUUCACUCUGUGUCUUUCGGCAAGUUAUUUUCUCUCCCUGGGCUUCAAGGCUGUAAACUGGUUAUUCUAAUCCUAACUCCUGGCUUGUUCUGAAAGUCAGUUAAUUAACAUAUGCAAAGUCCUUAGCACUUAUGUGCCAAACACACCGUGGGGAGGUGAGAAAGGGAUGUGACACUCCAAGUGUUGUGGAGUCUGCAGCCUGGGUCUACCCUCCCAUUGCAGGUUCUCCCCUGUAUCUACCACAUAUGGGUACCUGGGAGUUUCCAGUACAGGGGCAUAAAUGUACACGUGGGUGCACACACAGCAUACAUACAUAUACCCACUGGUGCAUGUGAGUUCAGAUGAAAUGAAGGCUGAGGGCCUCUGAGGGGCUGUGCAAGGUAGGGGAGAAGGCCCUGGGUCAGCCAGAAGUGGGAUGGAAAGAGGCAGGGAUGGUGGUCAAUAUGCAUUUACAGGGUAAUCUCAGGCAGAUUACAGCCCUGCCCAGGACCUCAGUUUACACAUCUAUUCAAUGGAUGACAGUGAAAUUAGAUCAGGAGUUAGCAAAUUCUUUCUCUAAAGGGCGAAAUAGUAAAUAUUUUAGGCUUUACAGAACACGUACAGUCUCUGCUGCAUUUUCUUCCUUUUUAAAAAAAAAAAAAAAUAACACUUUAAAACUAUAAAAAC